GACGAACGCUGGCGGCGUGCCUAAUACAUGCAAGUCGAACGAACCGCGCCUAGGUGCUUGCACUUGGUCAAGGUGAGUGGCGAACGGGUGAGUAACACGUGGGUAACCUACCUCAUAGUGGGGGAUAACAGUCGGAAACGACUGCGAAUACCGCAUUGGACAUGGGAUCACAUGAUUCUGUGAGGAAAGGUGGCGCAAGCUAUCGCUAAGAGAUGGACCCGCGGUGCAUUAGCUAGUUGGUGGGGGAACGGCCUACCAAGGCGAUGAGGCAUAGCCGACCUGAGAGGGUGAUCGGCCACAUUGGGACUGAGACACGGCCCAAACUCCUACGGGAGGCAGCAGUAGGGAAUCUUCCGCAAUGGACGCAAGUCUGACGGAGCAACGCCGCGUGAGUGAAGAAGGUCUUCGGAUCGUAAAGCUCUGUUGUUAGAGAAGAACAGCGCAUAGAGUAACUGUGAUGCGUGUGACGGUAUCUAACCAGAAAGCCACGGCUAACUACGUG
rnacentral:rRNA from 1 species